CUUGGAGACUGCUCUUUGGUGGAGACUGCCUCAGCAGUUCCCAACAGACUGAAGGCUUCCAUUGGAUUUCUAUGAGCUCUGAGGCCCUUCCAGUCCACUCUGCAAGCUGUCAUUCAUGAUCUUCUGAUAGGUAAAAAGAACAAAGAGUGGCUGCUUCUUUCACUUCUUUCUUACUGAUGCCAGGGUCUGCUGAGUGAGACUGAAGACUGUACAAGCAAUAAGGAGAAAAACAGUCUCUUGACAGGCUUCCUUUUAUCUGCUGGCAAGGCCCAGAAGAUGGGAACAAAAGGAGUUCCUGCUGAGAUCCAAAAGCCAGAAGCUGUCACUCCAAAAUGAGC